CGGGGGAGGCCGGAUCCUGGGCUGUGUCCCGGCGCCCUGUGCUCCAGAGCCUUUGCUGUUAGAUUCCGGCGCCCAGUGGUGCAGCCCCCU
rnacentral:pre_miRNA from 1 species